UGGAUUAGGUGAUAAUGACAACAUGAGCCAUGAGGGUAUUGAUAAUAUUUUUUUCUUAGUUUAUGAUGUUCAACUACAAUUUUGAUAAGCUUUUAUUUUCAUCGUGUAUAUUACAUAACCUCCACAAGUUAGUCCUCGCUGUUUAACUACCUACUCUAAGAAAAAUUCAAUUUUGGAUAGUGGAUACCAAUCAAGCGGUUCCUUUUUAAUGUAAUAAUCUGACCAGCUUCUGAAAAUAACCUUUCGCAAGGAGUACUAGUUGCAGUCACAAAAAGGCGCUUCAUAACAAAUGUAUGUAGAUUAGGAUAUAUAUGUUUUCGUUCAUGCCACCAUUUCAAAGGGUCAUCUUGACGUUCUAUUAAUGAUUUUCCAUAACAGAAAUACUGGAGGAGAUGGAAUUGAUGUAGAUGUAGAAGGUGUUUGUUCAGUA